rnacentral:rRNA from 1 species
CCUACGGGAGGCAGCAGUGGGGAAUCUUGCGCAAUGGGCGAAAGCCUGACGCAGCAACGCCGCGUGCGGGAAGAAGGCUUUCGGGCUGUAAACCGCUUUCAGCAGGAACGAAAAUGACGGUACCUGCAGAAGAAGGAGCGGCCAACUAUGUGCCAGCAGCCGCGGUGAUACAUAGGCUUCAAGCGUUGUCCGGAUUUAUUGGGCGUAAAGAGUUCGUAGGCGGUCGAGUAAGUCGGGUGUGAAAAUUCUGGGCUCAACCCAGAGACGCCACCCGAUACUGCUUGACUUGAGUUCGAUAGGGGAGUGGGGAAUUCCUAGUGUAGCGGUGAAAUGCGCAGAUAUUAGGAGGAACACCGGUGGCGAAGGCGCCACUCUGGAUCGAUACUGACGCUGAGGAACGAAAGCAUGGGUAGCAAACAGGAUUAGAUACCCUGGUAGUCCAUGCGUAACGGUAGGGCGACUAGGUGGUGGGUUUCGUUAUUAACGUAAACGUACCGCCGCCGUCCGUCGUAACGCAUUAAGUACGCCCGCCGUCGGGUAGGUACGGUCGCGAGACGUAAACGUACGAAGAAGUAAGUACGCGUUGAGACGUUGCCGACGGCGACGACGAGGGAGGAGG